rnacentral:rRNA from 1 species
AGUUUGAUCCUGGCUCAGGAUGAACGCUGGCGGUAUGCUUAACACAUGCAAGUCGAACGAAAGCUUUAUGCUUUAGUGGCGAACGGGUGCGUAAUACGUGAGAAUCUGCCCUUAGGAGGAGAAUAACUUCUGGAAACGGUUGCUAAGUCUCCAUAUGCCGAGAGGUGAAAUAGUUUACACUGCCUAGGGAUGAGCUCACGCCUGAUUAGCUUGUUGGUAAGGUAAUGGCUUACCAAGGCCACGAUCAGUAGCUGGUUUGAGAGAACGAUCAGCCACACUGGGACUGAGACACGGCCCAGACUCCUCCGGGAGGCAGCAGUGAGGAAUUUUCCGCAAUGGGCGAAAGCCUGACGGAGCAAUACCGCGUGAGGGAUGAAGGAUUUUGGUCUGUAAACCUCUUUUCUCAAGAAAGAAGUUCUGACGGUACUUGAGGAAUAAGCAUCGGCUAACUCCGUGCCAGCAGCCGCGGUAAUACGGGGGAUGCAAGCGUUAUCCGGAUUUAUUGGGCGUAAAGCGCCUGUAGGUUGUUUAAUAAGUCUGUUGUUAAAGACUAGGGCUUAACCCUAGGAAAGCAAUGGAAACUACUAGACUUGAGUAUGAUAGGGGUAGAGGGAAUUUCUAGUGUAGCGGUGAAAUGCGUAGAUAUUAGAAAGAACACCGGUGGCGAAGGCGCUCUACUGGAUCAUUACUGACACUCAGAGGCGAAAGCUAGGGUAGCAAAAGGGAUUAGAUACCCCUGUAGUCCUAGCCGUAAACGAUGGAUACUACAUGUUGCGUUUUUAAUGCAGUAUGGUAGCUAACGCGUUAAGUAUCCCGCCUGGGGAGUACGCUCGCAAGGGUGAAACUCAAAGGAAUUGACGGGGGCCCGCACAAGCGGUGGAGCAUGUGGUUUAAUUCGAUGCAACGCGAAGAACCUUACCAAGGCUUGACAUACUACGAAUUUCUUUGAAAGAGGAAAGUGCCUUCGGGAACGUAGAUACAGGUGGUGCAUGGCUGUCGUCAGCUCGUG